ensembl:lncRNA
AUGUAUACUGGGGCUGGACUUUUUGAGGUCUGCGUGCUGCCUGCUGGAUCUAGGAGAGAACACAUUGACCAGAAUGAUACCACCUACAGGGUCCUCAAAGCCACGCCCCCUGGUCAGGACAGCCGUGGAGACACACUGCCAUGGCACAAAGACCCCAGACGAGAGCGGCAAGUCCGCAGUGCCCUGCCUCUGGUGCCUCAUGCCCCCAGCAACGUCCAGCCCAGCUCGGCACAUUCCGGCUCACCUCACCCAGCCGACGCAACUACGGUGGAGGGGACGGACAGGCUGGCUGCGGUGAGGGAGAUAUGGAGACAGAAUUGUGACAAGUUGGAGCAAUGGCAGCAGGAGGAGCUGUGGGAGGUGUUAUCUGACUUUACAAACAUUUUUGCAUCAGAAGACGAAGUGGGCCUGACACACCUGGUGCAACACGAAAUCGACACGGGGGAUGCACAACCCAUCAAGACGCGUCCCCGGCGCCUCCCCAUGGCUCACCGUGAGGCUGCAGACAGAGCAGCGGAAGAGCUGCAAAAAGCUGGCAUUAUCGAACCGUCAGACAGUCCAUGGGCCUCGGGGCUGGCGAUGGUGUCGAAAAAAAAGAACCCCAAGAUGAGAUUCUGCGUGGACUGCAGACCGCUGAACAGUGUAACCAAGGAGGACGCAUAUCCAUUACCCAGGGUCGAUGAGUCACUGGACUUAGUGUCUGGCUCCUCCUGGUUCUCUUCACUCGACCUGCGAAACGGAUACUGGCAGGUGCCACUCAGCCCUGAAGCGAGGCCAAAGACGGCCUUGUGUAUGGACAGGGGGUUGUGGCAGUUCCGGGUCCUCAGCUUUGGCCUGUGCAACGCCCCGGCCACCUUUGAAAGACUCAUGGACGGGGUGCUGGCUGGCAUUCCCCGUCAGAGAUGUCUGGUGUAUUUGGACGACAUCCUGGCCCACGGGAGCUCCUUCAAAACGGCGUUGGAGUCGCUGAGGCUGGUGCUGCAGAGAGUGUCUGCGGCGGGCCUGAAAUUACACCCACAAAAGUGUUGCUUCAUGAGGAAAGAGGUGGAGUUUUUGGGUCACAGGCUGGGGAAAGAAGGCAUCAGCACACUGGAAAGUGCAGGCAGUGAGAGACUGGCCCACACCCACAGUCCAACGACAACUGAAGAGCUUCCUUGGCCUGGCCUCAUAUUACAGGAAGUUUGUGCGAGGUUUCGCCUGCACAGCCGCCCCCCUGUACCACCUGCUGCAGCAGGGCAGGGGCUUCACCUGGACGCCACAGUGCCAGCAAGCCUUCAACUCCCUCCAGAAGGCACUGACAGAGGCCUCCAUCCUCACCCCCCCCCUGACCCCAUGUUGCCAUUCAUUCUGGACACGGACGCCAGCGACAUGGGCAUGGGUGCAGUGCUGGCUCAGGUUUCAAUAUAA